rnacentral:rRNA from 1 species
GACACGGCCCAGACUCCUACGGGAGGCAGCAUGGGGAAUAUUGCACAAUGGGCGUCAAGCCUUGAUGCAGCCAUGCCGCGUGUGUGAAGAAGGCCUUCGGGUUGUAAAGGCACUUUCAGUCAGGAGGAAAGGUUAACGGUUAAUACCCCGUUAGCCUGUGACGUUACUGACAGAAGAAGCACCGGCUAACUCCGUGCCAGCAGCCGCGGUAA